CCAAUAGCGUAUAUUAAAGUUGUUGCAGUUAAAAAGCUCGUAGUUGAAUUUCGGGAUCAGUUCGCUGGUCGUGCCUUCGGUAUGUACUGGUCUCACUGAUUCCUCCUUCCUGAUGAACCGUAAUGCCAUUAAUUUGGUGUUGCGGGGACUCUGGACUGUUACUUUGAAAAAAUUAGAGUGUUUAAAGCAAGCUAAGGCUUGCAUACAUUAGCAGGGAAUAAUGAAAUAGGACGUUCGAUCCUAUUUUGUUGGUUUCUAGGAUUGACGUAAUGAUUAAUAGGGAUAGUUGGGGGCAUUAGUAUUCAAUUGUCAGAGGUGAAAUUCUUGGAUUUAUUGAAGACUAACUACUGCGAAAGCAUUUGCCAAGGAUGUUUUCAUUAAUCAAGAACGAAAGUUAGGGGAUCGAAGACGAUCAGAUACCGUCGUAGUCUUAACCAUAAACUAUGCCGACUAGGGAUCGGAUGAUGUUAAUUUUUAAAUGACUCAUUCGGCGCCUUACG
rnacentral:rRNA from 1 species